rnacentral:rRNA from 1 species
UACGAGGGGGGCAAGCGUUGUUCGGAAUUAUUGGGCGUAAAGGGCGCGUAGGCGGUGCGGUAAGUCUGUUGUGAAAUCUCCGGGCUCAACUCGGAGUCUGCAUCAGAAACUGCCGUGCUCGAGUGUGGGAGAGGUGAGUGGAAUUCCCGGUGUAGCGGUGAAAUGCGUAGAGAUCGGGAGGAACACCAGAGGCGAAGGCGGCGACCUGGACAGAUACUGACACUCAACUGCGAAAGCGUGGGGAGCAAACAGG